UGGGGGAUCGUUCAACGGUAGGACAGCGGACUCUGACUCCGUCGAUCUAGGUUCGAAUCCUAGUCCCCCAGCCA
rnacentral:tRNA from 2 species